AACGAACGCUGGCGGCAGGCUUAACACAUGCAAGUCGAGCGCCCCGGUAANGGGGGAGCGGCAGACGGGUGAGUAACGCGUGGGAAUCUACCCUUUUCUACGGAAUAACGCAGGGAAACUUGUGCUAAUACCGUAUGUGUCCUUCGGGAGAAAGAUUUAUCGGGAAAGGAUGAGCCCGCGUUGGAUUAGCUAGUUGGUGGGGUAAAGGCCUACCAAGGCGACGAUCCAUAGCUGGUCUGAGAGGAUGAUCAGCCACAUUGGGACUGAGACACGGCCCAAACUCCUACGGGAGGCAGCAGUGGGGAAUAUUGGACAAUGGGGGCAACCCUGAUCCAGCCAUGCCGCGUGAGUGAUGAAGGCCUUAGGGUUGUAAAGCUCUUUCGUCAGGGAAGAUAAUGACGGUACCUGAAGAAGAAGCCCCGGCUAACUUCGUG
rnacentral:rRNA from 2 species